rnacentral:rRNA from 1 species
CCUACGGGAGGCAGCAGUAGGGAAUCUUCCACAAUGGGCGCAAGCCUGAUGGAGCAACGCCGCGUGGGUGAAGAAGGUCUUCGGAUCGUAAAACCCUGUUUGUAGAGAAGAAAGUGCGUGAGAGUAACUGUUCACGUUUCGACGGUAUCUAACCAGAAAGCCACGGCUAACUACGUGCCAGCCGCCGCGGUAAUACGUAGGUGGCAAGCGUUAUCCGGAUUUAUUGGGCGUAAAGGGAGCGCAGGCGGUCCUUUAAGUGUGAUGUGAAAGCCUUCGGCUUAACCGGAGUAGUGCAUUGGAAACUGGGAGACUUGAGUGCAGAAGAGGAGAGUGGAACUCGAGGUGUAGCGGUGAAAUGCGUAGAUAUAUGGAAGAACACCAGUGGCGAAAGCGGCUCUCUGGUCUGUAACUGACGCUGAGGUUCGAAAGCGUGGGUAGCAAACAGGAUUAGAUACCCGGGUAGUC